rnacentral:rRNA from 1 species
CAGACCUGUAAUCGGAAAAG